AUGAAUUGCUUGUACCAACGUAGCAGAUUUCGCAUUUAUGGUGGUAGACUCUUUUCCCGCGCAGGCUCGACGAGAGGCCCAUUCCGCACAUAUUGUAAUGCUAUCUCACAUACUGGCGCAUCCUCAAGGCCUAAGAAGGCACGAAGAGUCAAACCCAUCUCGGACACUUGUUUCAUGGCACCCGCUACAGUCAAUCCAAGUGCUGCCGCAGCUGCUAUGAUCUCGGGGUCCUCUUCCGGACCGGCUUUCACUAUGAGCGGGGGGAUCGAUUGUUUCUUAUGCAUCCCGAGCUGGUCAACUUGUUUCCCGCUUUUUUUACUUUCUUCUUUCUCCUCCUUCAAUAUUUUUGCUUGCCUACGAAGUUCAUGUCCAUAG
rnacentral:rRNA from 1 species